GACGAACGCUGGCGGCGUGCUUAACACAUGCAAGUCGAACGAAGAGCGAUGGAUGCUUGCUUCUAUCAAUCUUAGUGGCGAACGGGUGAGUAACGCGUAAUCAACCUGCCCUUCAGAGGGGGACAACAGUUGGAAACGACUGCUAAUACCGCAUACGAUCUAAUCUCGGCAUCGAGGAUGGAUGAAAGGUGGCCUCUAUUUAUAAGCUAUCACUGAAGGAGGGGAUUGCGUCUGAUUAGCUAGUUGGAGGGGUAACGGCCCACCAAGGCGAUGAUCAGUAGCCGGUCUGAGAGGAUGAACGGCCACAUUGGGACUGAGACACGGCCCAGACUCCUACGGGAGGCAGCAGUGGGGAAUCUUCCGCAAUGGACGAAAGUCUGACGGAGCAACGCCGCGUGAGUGAUGACGGCCUUCGGGUUGUAAAGCUCUGUUAAUCGGGACGAAAGGCCUUCUUGCGAAUAGUUAGAAGGAUUGACGGUACCGGAAUAGAAAGCCACGGCUAACUACGUGCCAGCAGCCGCGGUAAUGCGUAGGUGGCAAGCGUUGUCCGGAAUUAUUGGGCGUAAAGCGCGCGCAGGCGGAUUGGUCAGUCUGUCUUAAAAGUUCGGGGCUUAACCCCGUGAUGGGAUGGAAACUGCCAAUCUAGAGUAUCGGAGAGGAAAGUGGAAUUCCUAGUGUAGC
rnacentral:rRNA from 1 species